CCCUUAGAUGUUCUGGGCCGCACGCGCGCUACACUGACGCACGCAACAGGUGCCUGCUCCGAGAGGACUGGGUAAUCAUUUGAGUGUGCGUCGUGAUGGGGAUAGAAUAUUGUAAUUAUUACUCUUCAACGAGGAAUUCCUAGUAAGCGCCAGUCAGCAGCUUGCGCUGAUUACGUCCCUGCCCUUUGUACACACCGCCCGUCGCUCCUACCGAUGGGUGAUCCGGUGAAUGAUUCGGACUUCAGCGGCUCCCCUGGGGUGCGCCGGAGAAAGUUUUGUGAACCUUAUCACUUGGAGGAAGGAGAAGUCGUAACA
rnacentral:rRNA from 1 species